rnacentral:rRNA from 1 species
GAGUUUGAUCCUGGCUCAGAGCGAACGCUGGCGGCAGGCCUAACACAUGCAAGUCGAACGGACCCUUCGGGGUUAGUGGCGGACGGGUGAGUAACACGUGGGAACGUGCCUUUAGGUUCGGAAUAGCUCCUGGAAACGGGUGGUAAUGCCGAAUGUGCCCUUCGGGGGAAAGAUUUAUCGCCUUUAGAGCGGCCCGCGUCUGAUUAGCUAGUUGGUGAGGUAAUGGCUCACCAAGGCGACGAUCAGUAGCUGGUCUGAGAGGAUGACCAGCCACAUUGGGACUGGGACACGGCCCAAACUCCUACGGGAGGCAGCAGUGGGGAAUCUUGCGCAAUGGGCGAAAGCCUGACGCAGCCAUGCCGCGUGAAUGAUGAAGGUCUUAGGAUUGUAAAAUUCUUUCACCGGGGACGAUAAUGACGGUACCCGGAGAAGAAGCCCCGGCUAACUUCGUGCCAGCAGCCGCGGUAAUACGAAGGGGGCUAGCGUUGCUCGGAAUUACUGGGCGUAAAGGGCGCGUAGGCGGAUCGUUAAGUCAGAGGUGAAAUCCCGGACUCAACUUCGAACUGCCUUUGAUACUGGCGAUCUA